AACAGGAUUAGAUACCCUGGUAGUCCACGCCGUAAACGAUGUCGACUUGGAGGUUGUUCCCUUGAGGAGUGGCUUCCGGAGCUAACGCGUUAAGUCGACCGCCUGGGGAGUACGGCCGCAAGGUUAAAACUCAAAUGAAUUGACGGGGGCCCGCACAAGCGGUGGAGCAUGUGGUUUAAUUCGAUGCAACGCGAAGAACCUUACCUACUCUUGACAUCCAGAGAACUUAGCAGAGAUGCUUUGGUGCCUUCGGGAACUCUGAGACAGGUGCUGCAUGGCUGUCGUCAGCUCGUGUUGUGAAAUGUUGGGUUAAGUCCCGCAACGAGCGCAACCCUUAUCCUUUGUUGCCAGCGAUUCGGUCGGGAACUCAAAGGAGACUGCCGGUGAUAAACCGGAGGAAGGUGGGGAUGACGUCAAGUCAUCAUGGCCCUUACGAGUAGGGCUACACACGUGCUACAAUGGCGCAUACAAAGAGAAGCGACCUCGCGAGAGCAAGCGGACCUCAUAAAGUGCGUCGUAGUCCGGAUCGGAGUCUGCAACUCGACUCCGUGAAGUCGGAAUCGCUAGUAAUCGUGGAUCAGAAUGCCACGGUGAAUACGUUCCCGGGCCUUGUACACACCGCCCGUCACACCAUGGGGAGUGGGUUGCAAAAGAAGUAGGUAGCUUAACCUUCGGGAGGGCGCUUACCACUUUGUGAUUCAUGACUGGGGUGAAGUCGUAACAAGGUAACC
rnacentral:rRNA from 1 species